UUGUUCAAUCAUGUACUGUAAUCGUUGUAUUGUGGGAAAGAAAAAUUAAUAAUGUAAUGUGGUAUAUCUGUAAUGAUUUUACAAAGCAUGUUAUGUUUUAAUGUUUGUAAUGUUGUAUGCGAUCGCUUAGAAAGUUAGUGUGUCUGACCAGGACCGCUCUUUAUAAUAUACUAGUAUAUUGUAGGACAGGGGAUGUAUAUAUAUAUAUAUAGUAGCUUCGUGCUCAUAUGUGCGUUUGCAUGCUAAUAUUGGCUUGCUUAUGCCUAUAUUUUAUAUCGGCGUGGCAGUGUCAUUUUUAGGGAUCGUAUAUAACGGUGUAUGAUGUCGCGAUGGAGACAUUCGGUGUAUACAUGCAACGCCCACGUGUUCUUUUAUACGUCAUCCAUUUUGUUAAAACCGUUCACGUUAUUACGGGUCCGCAGCUGUAUGCUCAAUGGAUCAGUUGUAUUGCAUUAUUAAAUGAAGCAUUAUCAGAAUACGGUUUCAGCUCCGUGCUCCCCUGACCAGGAUAAUCAGUUACAGGUGGGGAACAGCUCGAGCUGCUGGGUGCUGCGAUGCUUCUUUGUGUGACGACACCGUCCUGCAGGUGUCGGCAGAAGUCGUUGGACAGUGACGGGAUGCAGUGACAUUCAGCUCACCUGAUAAUGAUACGAAACAUAUUUACAGCCUGAGCCUAGCCCUGCACUCAAAGGAAUCAUGUGGUACACAAUGACUGUGUAGCUCUUAAUGACAGGACAGCUGCUAUGGAGUGAAACUUAAUGAACCACCUGAAUAUUUCUUCACGUAUUUUCUUCAUCCUACAUAUUAAGAACUUAUUAGCUGCUCAGAUUAAACAAAACAUGUUCAGAAAAAGUGUAUAAUCUGUCUUGGAAUUCACUGUCAACUGAAGUUUCCUUAUGGUGGAGAUGCGUAGGAAAUGAAUGGACGUCUUAUCUGUCUCCAAAAAUAAGUCACCAUUAUCAAAUAUAAAUGUAAACUCGUUAUCAAAAGGCUUGCUCAUUGUCACCAGCGUGGUUCCGCCAUGCCCGUCGUCAACAGCGUGGUACUACCAUGCCCAUCGUCACCAGCGUGGUUCCGUCAUGC